AAGGAAGUGGCAGAGUGGUUAUACGGCUGGCUUGAAACCAGCACAUGGGGGUUCAAUUCCUCCUUUCCUCG
rnacentral:tRNA from 1 species